GAUGAACGCUGGCGGCGUGCUUAACACAUGCAAGUCGAACGAGAAUCAACGGAUUGAGGAUUCGUCCAAAUGAAGUUGAGGAAAGUGGCGGACGGGUGAGUAACGCGUGAGGAACCUGCCUCGGAGUGGGGAAUAACAGUUGGAAACAGCUGCUAAUACCGCAUAAUGUUUCCGGUCCGCAUGGACUGGAAACCAAAGCUUUAUGUGCUGAAAGAUGGCCUCGCGUCUGAUUAGAUAGUUGGUGGGGUAACGGCCUACCAAGUCAACGAUCAGUAGCCGGUCUGAGAGGAUGAACGGCCACAUUGGGACUGAGAUACGGCCCAG
rnacentral:rRNA from 1 species